rnacentral:rRNA from 1 species
UACUCGAGUGGCGAACGGGUGAGUAACACGUGGGUGGUCUGCCCUGCACUUCGGGAUAAGCUUGGGAAACUGGGUCUAAUACCGGAUAGGAGCCAUCUUUAGUGUGGUGGUUGGAAAGUUUUUUCGGUGCAGGAUGAGCUCGCGGCCUAUCAGCUUGUUGGUGGGGUAAUGGCCUACCAAGGCGGCGACGGGUAGCCGGCCUGAGAGGGUGUACGGCCACAUUGGGACUGAGAUACGGCCCAG